rnacentral:rRNA from 1 species
GAUGAACGCUGGCGGCGUGCCUAAUACAUGCAAGUCGAGCGAACAGAUAAGGAGCUUGCUCCUUUGAAGUUAGCGGCGGACGGGUGAGUAACACGUGGGUAACCUACCUAUAAGACUGGGAUAACUUCGGGAAACCGGAGCUAAUACCGGAUAACAUUUAGAACCGCAUGGUUCUAAAGUGAAAGAUGGUUUUGCUAUCACUUAUAGAUGGACCCGCGCCGUAUUAGCUAGUUGGUAAGGUAACGGCUUACCAAGGCGACGAUACGUAGCCGACCUGAGAGGGUGAUCGGCCACACUGGAACUGAGACACGGUCCAGACUCCUACGGGAGGCAGCAGUAGGGAAUCUUCCGCAAUGGGCGAAAGCCUGACGGAGCAACGCCGCGUGAGUGAUGAAGGGUUUCGGCUCGUAAAACUCUGUUAUUAGGGAAGAACAAAUGUGUAAGUAACUGUGCACAUCUUGACGGUACCUAAUCAGAAAGCCACGGCUAACUACGUGCCGGCAGCCGCGGUAAUACGUAGGUGGCAAGCGUUAUCCGGAAUUAUUGGGCGUAAAGCGCGCGUAGGCGGUUUCUUAAGUCUGAUGUGAAAGCCCACGGCUCAACCGUGGAGGGUCAUUGGGAAACUGGGAAACUUGAGUGCAGAAGAGGAAAAGUGGAAUUCCAUGUGUAGCGGUGAAAUGCGCAAGAGAUAUGGAGGAACACCAGUGGCGAAGGCGACUUUCUGGUCUGUAACUGACGCUGAUGUGCGAAAGCGUGGGGAUCAAACAGGAUUAGAUACCCUGGUAGUCCACGCCGUAAACGAUGAGUGCUAAGUGUUAGGGGGUUUCCGCCCCUUAGUGCUGCAGCUAACGCAUUAAGCACUCCGCCUGGGGAGUACGACCGCAAGGUUGAAACUCAAAGGAAUUGACGGGGACCCGCACAAGCGGUGGAGCAUGUGGUUUAAUUCGAAGCAACGCGAAGAACCUUACCAAAUCUUGACAUCCUUUGAAAACUCUAGAGAUAGAGCCUUCCCCUUCGGGGGACAAAGUGACAGGUGGUGCAUGGUUGUCGUCAGCUCGUGUCGUGAGAUGUUGGGUUAAGUCCCGCAACGAGCGCAACCCUUAAGCUUAGUUGCCAUCAUUAAGUUGGGCACUCUAGGUUGACUGCCGGUGACAAACCGGAGGAAGGUGGGGAUGACGUCAAAUCAUCAUGCCCCUUAUGAUUUGGGCUACACACGUGCUACAAUGGACAAUACAAAGGGCAGCUAAACCGCGAGGUCAUGCAAAUCCCAUAAAGUUGUUCUCAGUUCGGAUUGUAGUCUGCAACUCGACUACAUGAAGCUGGAAUCGCUAGUAAUCGUAGAUCAGCAUGCUACGGUGAAUACGUUCCCGGGUCU